GACGGGGGGGGCAAGUGUUCUUCGGAAUUACUGGGCGUAAAGCGUGCGUAGGCGGUUUGUUAAGACAGGUGUGAAAUCCCCGGGCUUAACCUGGGAACUGCGCUUGUUACUGGCAGACUUGAGUGUGGCAGAGGGGGGUGGAAUUCCAGGUGUAGCAGUGAAAUGCGUAGAUAUCUGGAGGAACACCGAUGGCGAAGGCAGCCCCCUGGGCUAACACUGACGCUGAUGCACGAAAGCGUGGGGAGCAAACAGG
rnacentral:rRNA from 1 species